GACCUCUGUGGUGUAGUGGAAGCACACCUCACCGCAAUGGGUGAGACGCGGGUUCAACUUCCGCCGACGUCA